UACGUAGGGUGCAAGCGUUAUCCGGAAUUAUUGGGCGUAAAGAGCUCGUAGGCGGUUUGUCGCGUCUGCUGUGAAAACUGGAGGCUCAACCUCCAGCCUGCAGUGGGUACGGGCAAACUAGAGUGCGGUAGGGGAGAUUGGAAUUCCUGGUGUAGCGGUGGAAUGCGCAGAUAUCAGGAGGAACACCGGUGGCGAAGGCGGGACUCUGGGCCGAUACUGACGCUGAGACGCGAAAGCGUGGGGAGCGAACAGG
rnacentral:rRNA from 1 species